AACGCACAUUGCGCCCCUUGGUAUUCCGGGGGGCAUGCCUGUUCGAGCGUCAUUUCAACCCUCACGCGUAGCGUGGUCUUGGGCUCUGCCGGCAACGGCUUGCCUUAAAAUCAGUGGCGGUGCCAUCGAGCUCUACGCGUAGUAAUAAACCCCUCGCGUGUGAGUCUCGGCGGUCGCUUGCCAGCAACCCCCAAUUUUUUAUGGUUGACCUCGAAUCAGGUAGGGAUACCCGCUGAACUUAA
rnacentral:misc_RNA from 2 species